rnacentral:rRNA from 1 species
GAUGAACGCUGGCGGCGUGCCUAAUACAUGCAAGUCGAACGAAUCUUCUUCGGAAGAUGAGUGGCGAACGGGUGAGUAAUACAUAGGUAACCUGCCCCUGUGCGGGGGAUAACAGGAGGAAACUCCUGCUAAUACCGCAUAGCCAUGAGCACCGCAUGGAGCUCAUGCCAAAUAUCCUUUCGGGGAUAGCGCAGGGAUGGACCUAUGGCGCAUUAGCUGGUUGGCGGGGCAACGGCCCACCAAGGCAACGAUGCGUAGCCGGCCUGAGAGGGCGGACGGCCACAUUGGGACUGAGAGACGGCCCAGACUCCUACGGGAGGCAGCAGUAGGGAAUUUUCGGCAAUGGGGGAAACCCUGACCGAGCAACGCCGCGUGAGCGAAGAAGGCCUUCGGGUCGUAAAGCUCUGUUGUAAAGGAAGAACGGCGCAUACAGGAAAUGGUAUGCGAGUGACGGUACUUUACCAGAAAGCCACGGCUAACUACGUGCCAGCAGCCGCCGUAAUAC